rnacentral:rRNA from 1 species
AACGAACGCUGGCGGCAGGCUUAACACAUGCAAGUCGAGCGCCCCGCAAGGGGAGCGGCCGACGGGUGAGUAACGCGUGGGAACGUACCUUUUGGUUCGGAACAACUCCGGGAAACUGGAGCUAAUACCGGAUAAGCCCUAACGGGAAAAGAUUUAUCGCCGAAAGAUCGGCCCGCGUCUGAUUAGCUAGUUGGUGAGGUAACGGCUCACCAAGGCGACGAUCAGUAGCUGGUCUGAGAGGAUGAUCAGCCACACUGGGACUGAGACACGGCCCAGACUCCUACGGGAGGCAGCAGUGGGGAAUAUUGGACAAUGGGCGCAAGCCUGAUCCAGCCAUGCCGCGUGAGUGAUGAAGGCCUUAGGGUUGUAAAGCUCUUUUGUCCGGGAAGAUAAUGACUGUACCGGAAGAAUAAGCCCCGGCUAACUUCGUG